UGCAGGGGUGUCCCAGGGCAAAGGGGUAGGAGGGGUGGUCACAGUCGGGUUAAGUCUUACCUGAGCCUCCCGCACUGGUGAAGGGUCUCGUACUCGUCCUGCUUGUGACCGGGUGGUCACGGGAUGUGCCUCAGCGUUGUAAGAAGGGGCAUAAGCUGAAGUCAUAGGUCCCAGGUCGUUUCCCAGCAAAACUUCGGCUGGCAAAUUAUCCAUAAUUCCCACCCUCACAAGUCCUUUUCCCGCACCCCAAUCCAAGUGUACCUUUGCUG